rnacentral:lncRNA from 1 species
CAGUUUUAUAAGUGUACUCAGUUUAGGGAGUAUAUUUAUUUUCUCAGUGUUACAGAAGAAAAAAUUUGUGUGAGUUGUAUAUAGUGGAUGCUGUAGAACUUGCAUGAACAAUAUGGGUGUGAAUUGAGGUUCAUGUCUAUAUUUCUAAUUAGAUGGAGUGGGAAAAAUCUCUAUGGAUUUGCUUCCAUAUUAAGGCUUGUUGUCUUCUUUUUAGUGGAAGUCAGAGAAAGGCUGUUUUAAUUCACAGGACUUGGUAAACUUGAAUGUUAUUUUUCUUCUGAGGCUUAUAACAUUUAACAAAAAUGAAACCAGGAAAGUUUUCUAUUUAAAUUACAUUAGAAAUAUGCAUAUUUUAUAGUAAUGAUCUGUUUUUUUUGGUUUGUUUGUUUGUUUUUUUACAGUAUUUUUGAAACCUCCUGCAGAAUAAUGUUGCAGGGAUAAAUUUCUUGCUUCAGUGAUGAAGAUAGAUUAGAAUGACUGUUCUUGGCCUAUUUUAUUAAAUGGUUUUCCUACGGUUUGCAUCAUCAACUGUUCUGCUAGAAGAAAAUUUGUGGCAUUUCCUUUCAGCAUCAUGUGUUCUACAGAACAGGAGUUCUGACUACCUCCAUUAUGAUGUUCUUUCCUCAUUGCCUGCAUCUUAUCAGCCCCUGGGCUGCAGGCAGAAAAAAGUAGACCCCCUGGGCUGAUCUGAAUGCUGUCAUUCAUGAUAAA